rnacentral:rRNA from 1 species
GACGAACGCUGGCGGCGUGCUUAACACAUGCAAGUCGAACGGUAAGGCCCUUCGGGGUACACGAGCGGCGAACGGGUGAGUAACACGUGGGUGAUCUGCCCUGCACUUCGGGAUAAGCCUGGGAAACUGGGUCUAAUACCGGAUAGGACCCUGGGAUGCAUGUCCUGGGGGGGAAAGCUUUUGCGGUGUGGGAUGGGCCCGCGGCCUAUCAGGUUGUUGGUGGGGUGAUGGCCUACCAAGGCGACGACGGGUAGCCGGCCUGAGAGGGUGACCGGCCACACUGGGACUGAGAUACGGCCCAGACUCCUACGGGAGGCAGCAGUGGGGAAUAUUGCACAAUGGGCGCAAGCCUGAUGCAGCGACGCCGCGUGAGGGAUGACGGCCUUCGGGUUGUAAACCUCUUUCAGCACCGACGAAGCGCAAGUGACGGUAGGUGCAGAAGAAGGACCGGCCAACUACGUGCCAGCCGCCGCCGUAA